CAUGCUCGGUGAGGAAACUGAGACAAAGAGCUCAUCGCCGGCCCUCAGCUCGAACAGUCCUCCCUGGUAGACGGAGUGGAGGGCAUACUCGGCAUCUGGAGCCCAGCACUUGGUGCCCACCCCCUUCAGGAGCUAGACAGAGCAUCGUCCCAGACUCCCAGUCAGAGGCCACUCAGUCAGUCUUGCCUUCAGUUAGUGAGAAGCUGCUGCUCCGUUGGGUUGAGAUCUGCUGACUGACUGGGCCAAUGGAAAACAUCCAUUUCUCUUGCUUGUGAAAGCAGUCUGUGUUGAGACUUCCAGCAAACAUCUACCAAAGGUGGUUCCACUGUGACACAUGUGUAACAAACGACGCUCACCACAACAUUCUCCACAUCAAGGCCUAUCGGCUCGAUUGCAGCUUGAAGUCAUUACUCUGCUCUUUAAAUGAAAGCGGAGGCAGACAGUGGUCCACAGAGUUGGUGGACAUGCGGGGCUAUAAAUAAAAGGAGAUAAAAGUUGGAGCCAAGGAGACAGUGUGGUCAAGAGAUGAUACUGGAGGAAAACACAACAAUGUGAGGAUUCACAGAAGCGCUUCCAGCUGUCAGGGAUGCAGCGUAGAGAAGAAGUGCAAUAAAACCUAAUCAACACAAACAUCCUUGGUGGUGGUAAUGAAAGCAUGACUUCAUCAGGCUGGACCAAAUAGUCACGGCUUCAAGGUUGAAUCAAAGCCUGCAGUAUGUGCACCAGAGACAGGGUUUGGCCUGUUUAUGUCAGUGGACCUCCUCUUUUCAACUGCAGCUCAACAUCAAAGGGCAGAAAAAGUCAGUUCAUAAAUGCUCCACAAACACAUUUCUAAAGGCUAAGAUUCACCCUUUUCAUCCUUAUGAGGCUUGAUUGCUUUACGCUAAAAAAUGUGCUUAUUGUCGGCAGUUGUAAUGCAUUAACUACAAAUUAAUGUGUUAAACAUUUGAAAGAAUAGGAUGAAAUAGGACAAUAAAAUCAAAUGGAAUGAAAACAAACAAAACGCUAGGAAGCUAAUAAUGAAACCUGAACAUGUGAAAGUCAUAAAUAAAUGCACACGCCAGCAAUACACAGCCACAGAUCUCUGCGUUCACGCUGUCAAAGCAGCUGUUUCACAAUUAAGGUGUUCUGCUUCACUUAUAAAGUGUAACAAGUUCAAUUACAAGUUUACAUUUUGUUAAUCAUAUCAAGACUAAGUCCACAUUAUGUGUCUGAAUC